rnacentral:rRNA from 1 species
CUACGAGCGGCUGCAGUGGGGAAUAUUGCACAAUGGGCGCAAGCCUGAUGCAGCCAUGCCGCGUGUAUGAAGAAGGCCUUCGGGUUGUAAAGUACUUUCAGCGGGGAGGAAGGGAGUAAAGUUAAUACCUUUGCUCAUUGACGUUACCCGCAGAAGAAGCACCGGCUAACUCCGUGCCAGCAGCCGCGGUAAUACGGAGGGUGCAAGCGUUAAUCGGAAUUACUGGGCGUAAAGCGCACGCAGGCGGUUUGUUAAGUCAGAUGUGAAAUCCCCGGGCUCAACCUGGGAACUGCAUCUGAUACUGGCAAGCUUGAGUCUCGUAGAGGGGGGUAGAAUUCCAGGUGUAGCGGUGAAAUGCGUAGAGAUCUGGAGGAAUACCGGUGGCGAAGGCGGCCCCCUGGACGAAGACUGACGCUCAGGUGCGAAAGCGUGGGGAGCAAACAGGAUUAGAUACCCGCGUAGUC